rnacentral:snRNA from 1 species
GUGCUCGCUUCCAUAGCACAUAUACUAAAAUUGGAACGAUAGAGAGAAGAUGAGCAUGGCCCCUGUGCUUUAAGGAUGACAUGCAAAUUCGUGAAGCGUUCCAUAUUUUU